rnacentral:lncRNA from 1 species
ACGAACUGAGCACCCACGAUGAUCCACCACGACAGGCUCAGCGCCAGCGAGGCCCCCAACAGUCCUAGGCCGAUCUUGUACACCACCACCCAGCUGAGGAGCAGGUGCACCACCAGCGUCGCCGCCGAGAUGUAGGCGCUCGGCGCCACGAUGCUCUGCGCCUGCAGGAACUUCUGGAUGGGGAAGUUGGCGGCGUACGCGAAGAUCUGCGGGAUCAGCCCGUAGACGAAGAUGGACGCCGCCUUGGCGAUCUCCGGCGACUCACCCAGCAGCACAAGGAUCGGCCUCGAUAGGGCGUAGAUCGCGGCCAGCGGCACGCCGGUGGCCAUGAGGAGCACCGUCGACCGCUGCAGGUAUACCCCGAGCAUCUCGUACUUGUGGGCGCCGUACGCCUGUCCGCAUAGUGUCUCCACAGCACUCCCCAU